rnacentral:rRNA from 1 species
AGCAGCCGCGGUAAUUCCAGCUCCAAUAGCGUAUAUUAAAGUUGUUGCAGUUAAAAGCUCGUAGUUGAAUUUCGGGGUUCUACGGUCGGUCGGGCUAACGUCUGUACCGGCGUGUAGAAUUCCUACCUUCUGGGGAACCAUCAUGUUAUUAAUUUAGCGUGGUGGGAAACCAGGACCUUUACCUUGAAAAAUUAGAGUGUUCAAAGCAGGCUUAUGUCUGAAUACAUUAGCAUGGAAUAAUAAAAUAGGACGGUGGUCCUGUUUUGUUGGUUUCUGAAUCACCGUAAUGAUUAAUAGGGAUAGUUGGGGCAUUAGUAUUCAAUUGUCAGAGGUGAAAUUUUGGAUUUAUCGAAGACUAACUUCUGCGAAAGCAUUUGCCAAGGAUGUUUUCAUUAAUCAAGAACGAAAGUUAGGGGAUCGAAGACGAUCAGAUACCGUCGUAGUCUUAAC